AAAUGAAUUGACGGGGACCCGCACAAGCGGUGGAUGAUGUGGUUUAAUUCGAUGCAACGCGAAAAACCUUACCCACCUUUGACAUGUAUGGAAGUUUCCAGAGAUGGAUUCGUGCUCGAAAGAGAGCCAUAACACAGGUGCUGCAUGGCUGUCGUCAGCUCGUGUCGUGAGAUGUUGGGUUAAGUCCCGCAACGAGCGCAACCCUUGCCAUUAGUUGCUACAUUUAGUUGGGCACUCUAAUGGGACUGCCGGUGACAAGCCGGAGGAAGGUGGGGAUGACGUCAAGUCCUCAUGGCCCUUAUAGGUGGGGCUACACACGUCAUACAAUGGCCGGUACAAAGGGUCGCAAACCCGCGAGGGGGAGCUAAUCCAUCAAAGCCGGUCGUAGUCCGGAUCGCAGUCUGCAACUCGACUGCGUGAAGUCGGAAUCGCUAGUAAUCGUGGAUCAGCAUGUCACGGUGAAUACGUUCCCGGGUCUUGUACACACCGCCCGU
rnacentral:rRNA from 1 species